AUUGAACGCUGGCGGCAGGCCUAACACAUGCAAGUCGAGCGGAGCGGCGGACGGGUGAGUAAUACCAAGGACUCUGCCUGGUAGUGGGGGAGAACGUCCGGUAACGGGCGCUAAUACAACAUACUCUCAGCUGAGCCUAGGUCGGAUUAGCUAGUUGGUGGGGUAAAGGCAUACCAAGGCGACGAUCCGUAACUGGUCUGAGAGGAUGAUCAGUCACACUGGAACUGAGACACGGUCCAGACUCCUACGGGAGGCAGCAGUGGGGAAUAUUGGACAAUGGGCGAAAGCCUGAUCCAGCCAUGCCGCGUGUGUGAAGAAGGUCUUCGGAUUGUAAAGCACUUUAAGUUGGGAGGCGUUACCAACAGAAUAAGCACCGGCUAACUUCGUGCCAGCAGCCGCGGUAAUAC
rnacentral:rRNA from 1 species